GUUCAUUGAUGAUCAAUUAUAGUUGAAAUCUCAAUUUAAUUUGUACUUUCCCAUUGCUUUUACUUACAUCUUAUUGGUGCAGGCUGAAAAGGUUCCUUUAGCAAUUGAUGGAGAUUCAUCCACUACAUAAUUACCUACACCAUCAAAGAUUGAUUGUGAUUUUUUAUGAUAUAUGGGAGAAAUUGAAGUUUGCCAUUUUUUAUUUUUGGAUUUCAUGGGAGUUUGUUUCCAUGUUGAUUCCAACAUUGAUUUGCUUUGUUUUUUUUUUUUAUAUUUUUGUUAAGCAUAAGAUAUGCAAUGUCAUUUUUGCACACAACAAGAAAGUUUAAAGAACAAACAUGUGAGAAUUAGACAACAUCUAUAGUUUUAGAAAGUUCAUGAGGUUUUAAGAUUAGUGAUUGAUGGAUCCUUUAUAUACAUAUGCUCACAACCAUUAUACAUGAUAAUAGGAAGAGGGAUCAAAGUGAUAUAAAAGUAUAAGUAUUAAUAAGUUGAUUUAACAGUUAAUAAACUAUAAGAAAUCAACACGAAUAAUUUAUACUGAUUCACCCAAGCUAGGGCUAGUCCAGUCCGCGCUUAGCGCGUAAUCCACUGGUCUAAAGGUAUUGGCAAAACCUAUAUAAGCUUUGGGAAUCGAAGCUUAUGAACCUUGGUGUAAGCUUUCGAGCUACCUCGCUUACGAACCUUAUAUCUUCUUACAGGACGAUCACUGCUAAGAGUUUUACUAGAAAACUCUAUAAAACCUCCUUAGACCUUUACAUGUAGAUCUUAUCUAAGAGUUUUAUCAGGAAACUCUAUAAAAUCAACUUGAAUCUUUGCAAGUAGAUUCAACCUAAGAGUUUUGUCAGGAAACUUUAUAAAACCACUUUGAAUCUUUAAGGUAGAUUUAACUUAAGAGUUUUUCAGAAAACUCUAUAAAACCACACUAAACUUUAUGGUUAAACUUAUAAACCUUAUAAUUAAGUGUUUCUCUUAAGACAACUUUUCAAAACACUUGGAACACACGAAAAUGUUUGAUGGUUGAUCCGCAACAAUAACUUUCAAGAAGGUUAGAAAUAGAAAUGAGAGUUAGAAGUAAGAAGAUGAGCACUUGCUUUGGAGAACACCUUGGGAACCUUAAACACUUGAAGACUUGAAGGCUAGAGCUCUCUUGGAUGCUUGGGCAAUUUUUGGCAAGAAUGAAGAGUGGUGUGUUGCCUUUGAGUGUUGCCCUAAGGUGUGUAUUUAUAACAUGGAAACAUCUUUGAUGACUAUUGG
rnacentral:lncRNA from 1 species